rnacentral:lncRNA from 1 species
CGGCGCUCCCACCUGCACGCCAGUGCCCAUGACCGGCGAUUCAAUCCGCGCGCUCCGAUUGUCAUUCUCUAAUUCGUCCUAGCUACACAAUGCGGAAGGUAUAUUGAGUACGGGGGUAAGCUUAUUACCGGGAUUAUGCAGCGAGCGGGCCUGGCCGUGGUGGCUAGAUUCCAUGAAGGCGAGAGCAAGUCCGGCGAGCGAUUCCCCACGCUCUAGCCACCAUCGAUGCUAGGCUCUAUGUUACGAACGCGCGGCCCAGACCAAUACUCCCUAAGUUCUCUUCGCUGGAGCGCUACGCCAGCGAGCACCCGAUUCUGUGGAUGCGCCACCUCCCGCACUCUUGGUUUCUCUCGAAGGCAAGGAUGUUCAGUGGUUUGGUGCGAUGGGCGUGGCCGAGCGGAUCCUCUGAUUCAUAUGGGAGCGGAGGUGGGAUUGUUACGGAGCUGGAGCCAGGAUUCUCGGUGGCGGUUGCAACGUCGCGCGCGAGCACGGCGCGGAGAAGACCCCCACACAAUAGCUCGGAG